UACACUCCUACGGGAGGCAGCAGUGGGGAAUAUUGGACAAUGGGCGCAAGCCUGAUCCAGCCAUGCCGCGUGAGUGAUGAAGGCCCUAGGGUUGUAAAGCUCUUUUGUGCGGGAAGAUAAUGACGGUACCGCAAGAAUAAGCCCCGGCUAACUUCGUGCCAGCAGCCGCGGUAAUACGAAGGGGGCUAGCGUUGCUCGGAAUCACUGGGCGUAAAGGGUGCGUAGGCGGGUCUUUAAGUCAGGGGUGAAAUCCUGGAGCUCAACUCCAGAACUGCCUUUGAUACUGAAGAUCUUGAGUUCGGGAGAGGUGAGUGGAACUGCGAGUGUAGAGGUGAAAUUCGUAGAUAUUCGCAAGAACACCAGUGGCGAAGGCGGCUCACUGGCCCGAUACUGACGCUGAGGCACGAAAGCGUGGGGAGCAAACAGGAUUAGAAACCCCAGUAGUCCCAUGAU
rnacentral:rRNA from 1 species